rnacentral:rRNA from 1 species
GAUGAACGCUGACAGAAUGCUUAACACAUGCAAGUCUACUUGAAUUUGGGUUUUUUAACCUAGAUUUGGGUGGCGGACGGGUGAGUAACGCGUAAAGAACUUGCCUCACAGCUAGGGACAACAUUUGGAAACGAAUGCUAAUACCUGAUAUUAUGAAUAUAUGGCAUCAUAUAAUUAUGAAAGCUAUAAGCGCUGUGAGAGGGCUUUGCGUCCCAUUAGCUAGUUGGAGAGGUAACGGCUCACCAAGGCGAUGAUGGGUAGCCGGCCUGAGAGGGUGAACGGCCACAAGGGGACUGAGACACGGCCCUUACUCCUACGGGAGGCAGCAGUGGGGAAUAUUGGACAAUGGACCAAGAGUCUGAUCCAGCAAUUCUGUGUGCACGAUGACGUUUUUCGGAAUGUAAAGUGCUUUCAGUUGGGAAGAAAAAAAUGACGGUACCAACAGAAGAAG